UAUCUGCAGUCGAGCGGAAUUUUUUGGUGCUUGCACCUUUAGUUUUUAGCGGAGGACUGGUGACUAAUGGGGGGUUGCUACCUUAUAGAUUGGGAUAAGUCCGGGAAACCGGGGCUAAUACCGAAUAAUACUUUUUAACGCAUGUUUUAUGUUGAAAGAUUCUUUUGCCUUUUACAUUUGAUGGAACCCCGGCCUAAUUACUUGUUGGGGUAGCGACUCCCCAACGCGGCAAUGCUUAGCCGGCCAGCUAGGAUGGCCGGCCGCCCUGCUGGGGAUACACCGCCCACACUCCUCCUGGAGGCAGCAGUAGGGAAGCUUCCUCCAUGAAGGAAAAACUGACGGAGCGACACCGCCUGAGGGAUGAAGGACGUCUUAUCGUACAGCUCUUUUGUUGGGGAGGAAGAAAUACCGUUCGAAUAGGGGGGUCCAGUGUCGGUGCCUCUUGAUAGAGCCCCGGCUAUCUACAUGUGACCACCCGCGCUGAUAUAUAUGGGGCGAGAGUUGUGUGGAGAUAUUGUGCGUAUAGAGCGCGCACGCGGUCUUUCAAACUCAUGUGAGAAACCCCCCCGCUCCACCGGAGGGUGAUUGUGGACAGUGGGACACUUGUGCUGCAGAGGAGAUCGGAGAUUCUCCGAGUGUCGCGGAAAACUGCGUAGAUAUGUAGGAGCACCACUGGCGAAGGAAGGCGUCUGUCUGGUCUGUAACUGACAGUGAGGCGAGAAAGCGUGGGGAGCAAACAGGAUUAGAUACCUUGUUAGUGCACGCAGUAAACGAUGAGUGCUAAGUGAGGGGGGGUUUCCGCCCCUCAGUGAGGCAGCUAACGCAGCAAUCACUCCGCGUGGGGAGUACGCUCGCAAGACUGUCACUCAAAGGAAUUGACGGGGGCCCGCACAAGCGAUCGAGCAUGUGGUUUAAUUCGAAGCAACGGGACGAACCCUACCAGGUCCAUACCUCCCGGUGCCCACUAUCGAGACAUAGUUUCCCCUUGGGGGGCAACGGUGACAGGUGGUGCAUGGUUGUCGUCAGCUCGUGUCGUGAGAUGUUGGGUUAAGUCCCGCAACGAGCGCAACCCUCGUUCUUAGUUGCCAGCAUUCAGUUGGGCACUCUAAGGAGACUGCCGGUGACAAACCGGAGGAAGGUGGGGAUGACGUCAAAUCAUCAUGCCCCUUAUGACCUGGGCUACACACGUGCUACAAUGGACGGUACAAAGGGUUGCGAACCCGCGAGGGGGAGCGAAUCCGAUAAAACCGUUCUCAGUUCGGAUUGCAGGCUGCAACUCGCCUGCAUGAAGCCGGAAUCGCUAGUAAUCGCGAUC
rnacentral:rRNA from 1 species